rnacentral:rRNA from 1 species
GAUGAACGCUGGCGGCGUGCCUAAUACAUGCAAGUCGAGCGAACGGACGAGAAGCUUGCUUUUCUGAUGUUAGCGGCGGACGGGUGAGUAACACGUGGAUAACCUACCUAUAAGACUUGGAUAACUUCGGGAAACCGGAGCUAAUACCGGAUAAUAUUUUGAACCGCAUGGUUCAAAAGUGAAAGACGGUCUUGCUGUCACUUAUAGAUGGAUCCGCGCUGCAUUAGCUAGUUGGUAAGGUAACGGCUUACCAAGGCAACGAUGCAUAGCCGACCUGAGAGGGUGAUCGGCCACACCGGAACUGGGGCACGGUCCAGGCUCCUACGGGAGGCAGCAGUAGGGAAUCUUCCGCAAUGGGCGAAAGCCUGACGGAGCAACGCCGCGGGGGUGAUGAAGGUCUUCGGAUCGUAAAACUCUGUUAUUAGGGAAGAACAUAUGUGUAAGUAACUGUGCACAUCUUGACGGUACCUAAUCAGAAAGCCACGGCUAACUACGUG